rnacentral:rRNA from 1 species
GAGUUUGAUCGUGGCUCAGAGCGAACGCUGGCGGCAGGCUUAACACAUGCAAGUCGAGCGGGCGUAGCAAUACGUCAGCGGCAGACGGGUGAGUAACACGUGGGAACGUACCUUUUGGUUCGGAACAACUGAGGGAAACUUCAGCUAAUACCGGAUAAGCCCUAACGGGGAAAGAUUUAUCGCCGAAAGAUCGGCCCGCGUCUGAUUAGCUAGUUGGUGAGGUAAUGGCUCACCAAGGCGACGAUCAGUAGCUGGUCUGAGAGGAUGAUCAGCCACACUGGGACUGAGACACGGCCCAGACUCCUACGGGAGGCAGCAGUGGGGAAUAUUGGACAAUGGGGCAACCCUGAUCCAGCCAUGCCGCGUGAGUGAUGAAGGCCCUAGGGUUGUAAAGCUCUUUGUGCGGGAAGAUAAUGACGGUACCGCAAGAAUAAGCCCCGGCUAACUUCGUGCCAGCCGCGCAGU